rnacentral:rRNA from 1 species
GAUGAACGCUGGCGGCGUGCCUAAUACAUGCAAGUCGAGCGAACGGACGAGAAGCUUGCUUCUCUGAUGUUAGCGGCGGACGGGUGAGUAACACGUGGAUCACCUACCUAUAAGACUGGGAUCACUUCGGGAAACCGGAGCUAAUACCGGAUGAUAUUUUGAACCGCAUGGUUCAAAAGUGAAAGACGGUCUUGCUGUCACUUAUAGCUGGAUCCGCGCUGCAUUAGCUAGUUGGUACGGUAACGGCUUACCAAGGCAACGAUGCAUAGCCGACGUGAGAGGGUGGUCGGCCACACGGGAGCUGGAACACGGUCCAGACUCCUACGGUAGGCAGCAGUAGGGAAUCGUCCGCAGUGGGCGAAAGCCUGACGGAGCGACGCCGCGUGAGUGAUGAAGGUCUUCGGAUCGUAAAGCUCUGUUAUUAGGGAAGAACAUAUGUGUAAGUAACUGAGCACAUCGUGACGGUACCUAAUCAGAAAGCCACGGCUAACUACGUG